rnacentral:sRNA from 1 species
ACAUAGCCGUAUUUUGAACAAUGUAUAUUAAGGAAAUUUGUAUAUUCAUUUUGAGAUUUUCAAUUGCUUGUCACAAGUUCAGUUUAAUCAUUGUUUAAUUUUUUCAUUAUGGCGACAAACCUUUACAUAUGUUGAAUAGUUGAUAGAUUUUGUAUCUGUUAUGUUUUAUGUUUCUUACAGUAACAAAAUAUAUGCAUUAUGAAUUUGUCUACGAAAUUGUAGUUUUAGCAGUUUUUUUCCUACAGAAAAAAACAUUAAAAAACAAUAUUUUCUACUUUGUAAUCAUAAGUAAAGACUAAGAAUAUACAUUUUAUUAGGUGCUAAUCAAUGUAUUUAUGUCAGUUAUCUUAAAGUUCAUCCGUUGAUAGCAUGUAUUAUUAUAAUGACUCAUCAUAAAUGUUUGAAAAAAAUCGAGGAUAAUCAUGUUGUUAUUUUUAAUUGAUUGUUACAAUUUCACUUUUUCACUUUCCGUUUCAUUUCGUUUCAUUUUAUAGAUGUGUUGAGAGUUUUUAUUGUGUGGCUAAAACACACAAUCUUGUACAUACAUUUAAUUUCUUAUUGAUUUGAAAAAGUUGCUUUCUUAUAAACAGUUACUGUUAUGAAAUAAAAGUAUUUACUUGUAUGUACUAUUUUGUAAUGACUGAAAUAUGAAUAGGUCAGCAAAAUUGUAAUUUUUACAGUUUUUUUUUAAUAAAAGUCUUUUGAAAACA